CCUACGGUGCGCUGCAGUCGAGAAUCAUUCACAAUGGGGGAAACCCUGAUGGUGCGACGCCGCGUGGGGGAAUGAAGGUCUUCGGAUUGUAAACCCCUGUCAUGUGGGAGCAAAUUAAAAAGAUAGUACCACAAGAGGAAGCGACGGCUAACUCGGUGCCAGCCGCCGCGGUAAUACAGAGGUCUCAAGCGUUGUUCGGAAUCACUGGGCGUAAAGCGUGCGUAGGCUGUUUCGUAAGUCGUGUGUGAAAGGCGCGGGCUCAACCCGCGGACGGCACAUGAUAAUGAGAGACUAGAGUAAUGGAGGGGGAACCGGAAUUCUCGGGGUAGCAGUGAAAUGCGUAGAUAUCGAGAGGAACACUCGUGGCGAAGGCGGGUUCCUGGACAUUAACUGACGCUGAGGCACGAAGGCCAGGGGAGCGAAAGGGAGUAGAUACCCCUGUAGUC
rnacentral:rRNA from 1 species